rnacentral:rRNA from 1 species
CAAUAGCGUAUAUUAAAGUUGUUGCGGUUAAAAAGCUCGUAGUUGGAUUUCUGCUGAGAACGACCGGUCCGCCCUUUGGGUGUGUAUCUGGCUCUUUCUUGGCAUCUUCUUGGUGAACGUUGCUGCACUUGACUGUGUGGAGCGCUACCCAGGACUUUUACUUUGAGGAAAUUAGAGUGUUUCAAGCAGGCAUACGCCUUGAAUACAUUAGCAUGGAAUAAUAAGAUAGGACCUCGGUUCUAUUUUGUUGGUUUCUAGAGCUGAGGUAAUGAUUAAUAGGGAUAGUUGGGGGCAUUCGUAUUUAACUGUCAGAGGUGAAAUUCUCGGAUUUGUUAAAGACGGACUACUGCGAAAGCAUUUGCCAAGGAUGUUUUCAUUG